rnacentral:snRNA from 1 species
UAAGACAGCAGGACGGUGGUCA